rnacentral:rRNA from 1 species
UACGGGGGGGGCAAGCGUUGUUCGGAAUUACUGGGCGUAAAGGGCGCGUAGGCGGCCUGCUAAGUCGAACGUGAAAUCCCCGGGCUCAACCCCGGGACUGCGUCCGAUACUUCCGAGCUGGAGGUAGGUAGGGGAGAUCGGAAUUCCUGGUGUAGCGGUGAAAUGCGCAGAUAUCAGGAGGAACACCGGUGGCGAAGGCGGAUCUCUGGGCCUUACCUGACGCUGAGGCGCGAAAAGCUAGGGGGAGCGAACAGG